rnacentral:rRNA from 1 species
AGCGAACGCUGGCGGCAGGCCUAACACAUGCAAGUCGAACGGGUCCUUCGGGAUUAGUGGCGGACGGGUGAGUAACACGUGGGAACGUGCCCUUUGGUUCGGAACAACUCAGGGAAACUUGAGCUAAUACCGGAUGUGCCCUUCGGGGGAAAGAUUUAUCGCCAUAGGAGCGGCCCGCGUCUGAUUAGCUAGUUGGUGAGGUAAAGGCUCACCAAGGCGACGAUCAGUAGCUGGUCUGAGAGGAUGAUCAGCCACAUUGGGACUGAGACACGGCCCAAACUCCUACGGGAGGCAGCAGUGGGGAAUCUUGCGCAAUGGGCGAAAGCCUGACGCAGCCAUGCCGCGUGAAUGAUGAAGGUCUUAGGAUUGUAAAAUUCUUUCACCGGGGACGAUAAUGACGGUACCCGGAGAAGAAGCCCCGGCUAACUUCGUGCCAGCAGCCGCCGUAAAAC